rnacentral:misc_RNA from 1 species
GAAUAACUUGACAAUAAGUAGAGCAAAGGUUUUAUUUCAAGUAGCAAUUGCGAUUUUAUAAUGUAAAAUGAUAUGGCGAAAGAGAGAAAAAUUAAGACGAGAGAGAUGGCGUUGUCGGGCAUACGAUAACUUUUUGCAUCUUCGUGGCACGUAAGCGAUGCGAGUCAUCUGUGUCUCGUCGAGGUGCUUGCUUUCGCAGUGUAAUUUCCGUUUUAAUUUCUUUUGGCUACUUGAUAAUUAAGAUUGAUGACAAGAGAUAUUUUUUACGGAUAAAAUUGCCUGCGUUUACCGAUAACAUGAAACUGUGUCUUGUAAUAGCACAUAUCAUACUGGUAGCUACCAAUCUCUGGGUCACGGCGCACUUCCACGAAGAAGUAUCCGAAGAUAAUGAAUUUGCAGAAUUUGAGGACUUUGAAGAGGACAAACCGAGUGUAACCAUUGAACAUGCACCCGAAGCGUCACAAUGCCAAGAGGCAGACUCGAGUCAGGACUUUGAGGAGGACGAUGUCAUAGUCGUCGAUGGGGAUAACGAGUUCGAGCACUUUCACGAUGAGGAAGAGUUUGAGGGAGCGGACGUUGCAGGCGGCAACGCUGGCGCAAAAAUCGACGAGCCUUCCACAUUGACCAUCACUGACGUUCCGUUACACCUGCGAGACAGAUGGGACAGCUUCUACCUAGAAAUACUGAUGAUUACUGGACUAUUGGUAUAUUUUAUAAAUUAUAUAGUAGGACGUUCCAAAAAUGCACGCAUAGCCGAACAGUGGUUAACGGAUCACAAGCAACUGUUGUUGGAUAACUUCUCUCUUGUCGGUUACUCAAAUGAGAAUGCGAGCGAUAAUGAUUUAAUGAAGGAGAGCGAGUCGCAGUACAGUCUCUACUGUUCUGGACGCGUCGGGUGUGACGCGAUGCUAAUUGAAUUGAAAUUAAUAAAGAGGCAAGAUUUAGUCGCCGUACUGGCGCAACUAGUACGCCCACAAAACGAUCAAGCGCACAUACACGUGGAGCUCUCGAAAGACGAGAUAGAUAAUUUCGUUUUAGCGAUCGCUACGAAACGGGCAGCGGUGCACUUGGUGCGCGAUAUGGCCGACAUUAGCGUCUACUGCCCAGAGAAACGAUCUGGAGAGAAGUUCGGUCUUCCAUCGGGUUUCUACGUAAUGUCGGAGAUCGCCGAAGCGACGUCAGCUGUAUUAGACACCAGGGUUCUGCAAGCUUUCACAAAGUUUGCACCUUACAUAGAUUAUAUCCAUAUUAGUGAUCAGUAUAGCGGACGUAAGCAACAAGAAGAUACUACUCAGUUGACAAUGCCGGAAGUAAAAAAGGUAUUGUUGGUGGGCCUGAAUAUAAGUCUCAAGGGCCGCACGUGUAACGCGGAGACUCAAGAGAAACUGAAACUUUUACUUCAACUUACAUUUUAUCUAGUCGAUAAGCUGCGACGUUUCAAGUUAUCGAAAGAGGGGAAAAAUAAAGCGGACAAGAAUCGACUGAGAGUGGAGGAAGCCUUCUUGAAAACGACGCAUGCCGCGAGGGCCGAAGCUGCGGCACAAAGGCGAGAGGAGCGUCGGAGAGUCGAGAAGGAGAAAAUCCUGCAAGAAGAGGAUCCCGAUAAACAGCGCAAAUGGGAGGAGAAGGAACAACGGAGACUGGCGAAGAAACGUGCACCCAGGAUGAAGCAGCUCAAGGUGAAAGCUUUAUGACCGGUUACUAUGAAAACCGAGUAGACUGCGGACUCGUAAUCGUUACUGAAAUAUUUGACAGAAAAAUUCGUAACUGCAUUGGAAAAUGUGUAUAUAUACUUGAUCAGAGUUACCUACUGGAUACGCUAACUUAUAUCUCUCUUCAUGGCAUAUUCCGAUUUACGUAUUUACUCAGUGUUCUUACACGAGGUAUCGAACUUAUUAAAGAAAGUACAAACGACUGAAGAAGAGUAUCCUGCGAGUUGUACAUGAUACUUCCUGUUGAAGCAAGAAUUACAAUAAAAUUUAGUGUGUACUAUAUACACGUAUGUAUACAUACGUGCGAGAUGAACUGUCGUACCUCUUUUGACGCUACGUACCAACGAAGCCGCGAUAAGAUAGCGGUAUAAAUCAUUGCUCUUCGACUAACAUUUAACACGUGUUUCUUUUUAGCCAACUUUGAAAUAGCGUUCAUGCUCAAUUAAUACUCCUAUUGAUACUCUAAGAAACUUUCUUUUUCAUAUCCAUGAUACGUUACUACUUAUUAUACAUUAUCUCAAUGGUGAAUGUAAUUGUAUAAAGAUCGAAACUUAAAUUGAUCCUAUAAAGAGAGGGUGUUAGAUAGGUAUACAUUAUUUAUUUUAUAUAAUAAUAAUAAUAUAUAACGAUUAAAUGUUUAUUUUUUAAAAACCAUGCGUGUUAGACAGUGUUUAAUUCAUAAACGUGUACGAUCGUUAUUAAGUCAAUAUAAAUAUUAGAAAUAUAUAUAUAUCACAUUUAAA